GACGAACGCUGGCGGCGUGCUUAACACAUGCAAGUCGAACGGAAAGGCCCUGCUUUUGUGGGGUGCUCGAGUGGCGAACGGGUGAGUAACACGUGAGUAACCUGCCCUUGACUUUGGGAUAACUUCAGGAAACUGGGGCUAAUACCGGAUAGGAGCUCCUGCUGCAUGGUGGGGGUUGGAAAGUUUCGGCGGUUGGGGAUGGACUCGCGGCUUAUCAGCUUGUUGGUGGGGUAGUGGCUUACCAAGGCUUUGACAGGUAGCCGGCCUGAGAGGGUGACCGGCCACAUUGGGACUGAGAUACGGCCCAGACUCCUACGGGAGGCAGCAGUGGGGAAUAUUGCACAAUGGGCGGAAGCCUGAUGCAGUAACGCCGCGUGCGGGAUGACGGCCUUCGGGUUGUAAACCGCUUUCGCCUGUGACGAAGCGUGAGUGACGGUAAUGGGUAAAGAAGCACCGGCUAACUACGUG
rnacentral:rRNA from 1 species